rnacentral:rRNA from 1 species
UACGUAGGGUGCGAGCGUUAAUCGGAAUGUACUGGGCGUGAAAGCGUGCGCAGGCGGUUUUGUAAGCCAGAUGUGAAAUCCCCGGGCUUAACCUGGGAAUGGCAUUUGGGACUGCAAGGCUUGAGUGCGGCAGAGGAGACUGGAAUUCCUGGUGUAGCAGUGAAAUGCGUAGAUAUCAGGAGGAACACCGAUGGCGAAGGCAGG